rnacentral:rRNA from 1 species
AACGAACGCUGGCGGCAUGCCUAACACAUGCAAGUCGAACGAGACCUUCGGGUCUAGUGGCGCACGGGUGCGUAACGCGUGGGAACCUGCCCUUAGGUUCGGAAUAACUCCCCGAAAGGGGUGCUAAUACCGGAUAAUGUCUUCGGACCAAAGAUUUAUCGCCUUUGGAUGGGCCCGCGUUGGAUUAGCUAGUUGGUAGGGUAAAAGCCUACCAAGGCGACGAUCCAUAGCUGGUCUGAGAGGAUGAUCAGCCACACUGGGACUGAGACACGGCCCAGACUCCUACGGGAGGGAGGAAGGGGGAAUAUUGGAACAUGGGCGGAAGGCUGAUCCAGCAAUGCCGGGGGAGGGAUGAAGGGCUUAGGGUUGUAAAGCCCUUUUACCCGGGAUGAUAAUGACAGUACCGGGAGAAUAAGCUCCGGCUAACUCCGUG